AGGGAAUACAUCACAAAAUAGAGAAUUGUAUAAUUAGCGUCGUCCCAAAGAGACGAAGCACCUAUCCUUUCGGUGUUGAUCUGGGCACUGAUGCACGCAUCUUCGCUCGUGUCAACCAAUCUGCUCGGAAAUAUCGCCAAGAGAAGCGACAAUGAAAUGAUGGCAUGGCUAAAUCAGUGCAUUUGUGGUAUGUGGGUGCCAUGAGUGUCCUUGUAGUGCUGGCAAUUUCCAACACUGUAAGUGGAAACAAACCAAGGGAUCUCUACUUGCAUCAGUACAUCCCCUUCCCUAGACUUCGCUUGAUCAAACAGCAGAGAGAAUUUUCAUCGUCUCAAUGUGGAAUACCUCUGGAAUUGGAGUGCAGCAGCUUGUUGGGGCCAGACUGUUUCUCCAAAGGUAGAUCCUCACCAAUAAAAGCCAUAUGGCCUGUGCACUGGGUUCCGCGUUCCUUCAAAUCAUAUUCUUGUGCUCAAAUCACCACAACCGCGACAAUCUUUCCAAAAUUAUUCCAGGUGUCCCAGAGAAGCCAGCCUCAGCAGAACACACACAAGGACUUCCUGCUAGGCCUGCAGCUGCCAAGGUGCGCCACAUC
rnacentral:lncRNA from 1 species